ACAAAAAAAAGAAGAGAAAAUAAAUUACCCACGCAUACAUACUAAUGUUGUAAAAAUCAGUGAAAAUCCUAAAGUGUAAAAAUGACGGAGGAUUCGGUGAUUAUCGAUCAUGCCGACGUCGUGUCAAUGUUCGUUAAAAAUGGAACGUUUAAUGAUACGAUUAACGAAACCGACUACGGGGAUUACGACCCGGUUUUUUCCUUCAACUAUUUCGACUGGGUCGAACUGGCACCUGCCCUCGUCGUCUAUAGCCUCACCUUCUUCCUCGGCUUGGCUGGCAACGUGCUGAUCAUCGCAUCGACUCUUUGCCCUCGGCUGAGACCUUUGCCAGCAACACCGACAAACGUUUUCCUCGGCGGUUUAGCGAUGGCCGAUUUGCUCCUGAUCAUCUUCUGCAUACCGGUAAAGAUCGCUAAGCUCUUCUCUUACACAUGGAGCAUGGGAAUGUUUCUCUGCAAAUCCGUUCAUUACAUGCAGAGCGUUUCGGCCAUUUGCUCCGUCUUAACGUUGACCGCGAUGUCGAUAGAGAGAUACUACGCGAUCGUUCAUCCUAUGAGGGCUCAGUACACAUGCACGAUAAGUCAGGCCCGAAGAAUCGUAAUCAUGACUUGGAUGACGUCGUUUUUACUGGCGAUACCGAUACUCUUUACACAGCGGCACCAAGCCGUCGGUCCCGGAGACCUCGGGGCGUUUUGGUGCGUACGUGACAUGAGAUCGGUAACGCUUUGGCAAAUUCACGAAGUCUACAUGCUGCUACUGGUCCUCGUCGUCCCUCUUAUUGUCAUGGCCUUCUGCUACACGGCUAUAUGCUGGGAGAUAUGGAGGGUAAUGAAGCGGCGAUACCACAUGACGUCCAGACACGCUCUCAGUCCCAGCCGCAAUUCGGCCACUGAAUGCAUAGCCUUGAAUGAUCGGCAUCCUGGAAAUGGGAAAAACGGAAGACGCGGACGGCGGGAGGACCUCAGAACCGAGGAAGAAUCACGGACCAUGAAACAGGUGGUCAAGAUGCUUGUGGCUGUGGUUGUUCUGUUUGGAAUUUGCUGGGGUCCGAUGUUGAUCGACAACGUUUUGACAGCCUACGGGAUUUUGCCCUGGGCUAAAAUCGGCCCGUACAGACACAGCAACGUCACCUUUCAGCUUAUGGCUUACUUCAACAGCUGCAUAAAUCCCAUCAUCUACGGAUUUAUGUCAAAGCACUUCAGGGAGAGUUUCCUCUCGGCGGCCUGCGGAAGCUGCUGCUGUUGUCCAAGGCGGAAUUACCGUUCGUCAGGUCGAGUCAAGAGGCAUCCGAGCCUGAGCCAGACAAGGACGACAAGCGUUCGGUGGCGUCAGCUCUCAAUCAGCAUGAUGAAGUUUCCUUUGACGAACGCCUCCAAAACCCGUACGGUUGUCGUGUAGAGCACAAAUGUAUAAUGUUACAUUAUCCUAUACCGAUCAAUGCGAGAGAGAUAUUUAUUAUAAUAGGUGGACCUGAUUUUACCUGAUCCCUUGGAACUCGUCGAGGGAUAUAAUAAUAAGUUAGGAUGAAACUUACUACCGCACAAUAAAUUUAUCUACAUACUAUACAUAUAUGUUAUAUAUAUUCACUGAAAUUAGGACUAAAUUUUGCACGCGGGUAUUUGUCCGUAAGUAUUUAAGUACUCGUUUCGCAAUUUUCCCCAUUUCUCACUCUCUCUCUCCCUCUCUCUCUCUCUCUCUCUUUCUGUUUUCCACUCUAUUUCGCACUGCACUCAUUGCAGGGGUUGAAUUGAAACGUCCGUUUCACCGCUUCGCCGGACAAUUCGCUUCUGUUCGGGAUAGAAAUUAAACGAGGAAAACAACAAAAUGUAAAAUAAAAAAAUCCUCGUUCGCCCAUCGCGUUUUUCAAUUUUACCGCCUAACUCAAUCACGGCGCGAGUGUCCUAGAUUUUCAUAAAGAAGAAGAAGAAAAAAAAAAAA